rnacentral:rRNA from 1 species
GACGUAGGGCGCGAGCGUUGUCCGGAUUUAUUGGGCGUAAAGAGCUCGUAGGCGGCUUGUCGCGUCGUCCGUGAAAACCCACAGCUCAACUGUGGGCUUGCGGUCGAUACGGGCAGGCUAGAGUUCGGUAGGGGAGACUGGAAUUCCUGGUGUAGCGGUGAAAUGCGCAGAUAUCGAGAGGAACACCUGCGGCGAAGGCGGGUUGCUGGGCCGACACUGACGCUGAUGCGCGAAAGCCAGGGGAGCGAACGGG